rnacentral:rRNA from 1 species
GCAGCCGCGGUAAUACGUAGGGGGCAAGCGUUAUCCGGAUUUACUGGGUGUAAAGGGAGCGUAGACGGUUCAGCAAGUCUGAAGUGAAAUCCCAAGGCUCAACCAUGGGACUGCUUUGGAAACUGUUGAACUUGAGUGCAGGAGAGGUAAGCGGAAUUCCUAGUGUAGCGGUGAAAUGCGUAGAUAUUAGGAGGAACACCAGUGGCGAAGGCGGCUUACUGGACUGUAACUGACGUUGAGGCUCGAAAGCGUGGGGAGCAAACAGGAUUAGAUACCCC